AGAGUUUGAUCAUGGCUCAGAUUGAACGCUGGCGGCAUGCCUAACACAUGCAAGUCGCACGCGAAAGGGGGCAACCCCGAGUAGAGUGGCGGACGGGUGCGUAAUACGCAGGAAUCUACCCACGAGUGGGGGACAACCCGGCGAAAGCCGGGCUAAUACCGCAUGAGACCUACGGGUGAAAGCGGGGGAUCGCAAGACCUCGCGCUGGUGGAUGAGCCUGCGUCCGAUUAGCUAGUUGGUAGGGUAAAGGCCUACCAAGGCAACGAUCGGUAGCUGGUCUGAGAGGACGACCAGCCACACUGGGACUGAGACACGGCCCAGACUCCUACGGGAGGCAGCAGUGGGGAAUAUUGGACAAUGGGGGCAACCCUGAUCCAGCAAUGCCGCGUGUGUGAAGAAGGCCUUCGGGUUGUAAAGCACUUUCGAUGGGGACAAACGUGUUGGACUUAAUACGUCCAGCCUUGAUGGUACCCAGAGAAGAAGCACCGGCUAACUCUGUGCCAGCAGCCGCGGUAAUACAGAGGGUGCAAGCGUUAAUCGGAAUUACUGGGCGUAAAGCGUGCGUAGGUGGUUGGAUAAGUCAGGUGUGAAAUCCCCGAGCUCAACUUGGGAAUUGCGCUUGAUACUGUCCGGCUAGAGUGUGGUAGAGGGUAGUGGAAUUCCGCAUGUAGCGGUGAAAUGCGUAGAUAUGCGGAGGAACAUCAGUGGCGAAGGCGGCUACCUGGACCAACACUGACACUGAGGCACGAAAGCGUGGGUAGCAAACAGGAUUAGAUACCCUGGUAGUCCACGCCCUAAACGAUGGGUACUAGACGUCGGAAAGUUUAUCUUUUUGGUGUCGCAGCUAACGCAAUAAGUACCCCGCCUGGGGAGUACGGUCGCAAGAUUAAAACUCAAAGGAAUUGACGGGGGCCCGCACAAGCGGUGGAGCAUGUGGUUUAAUUCGAUGCAACGCGAAAAACCUUACCUGGCCUUGACAUCUGGGGAAUCCUGCAGAGAUGCGGGAGUGCCGCAAGGAACCCCAAGACAGGUGCUGCAUGGCUGUCGUCAGCUCGUGUCG
rnacentral:rRNA from 1 species